rnacentral:rRNA from 1 species
GAUGAACGCUGGCGGCGUGCCUAAUACAUGCAAGUCGAGCGAACGGACGAGAAGCUUGCUUCUCUGGCGUUAGCGGCGGACGGGUGAGUAACACGUGGAUAACCUACCUAUAAGACUGGGAUAACUUCGGGAAACCGGAGCUAAUACCGGAUAAUAUAUUGAACCGCAUGGUUCAAUAGUGAAAGACGGUCUUGCUGUCACUUAUAGAUGGAUCCGCGCUGCAUUAGCUAGUUGGUAAGGUAACGGCUUACCAAGGCAACGAUGCAUAGCCGACCUGAGAGGGUGAUCGGCCACACUGGAACUGGGACACGGUCCAGACUCCUACGGGAGGCAGCAGUAGGGAAUCUUCCGCAAUGGGCGAAAGCCUGACGGAGCAACGCCGCGUGAGUGAUGAAGGUCUUCGGAUCGUAAAACUCUGUUAUUAGGGAAGAACAUAUGUGUAAGUAACUGUGCACGUCUUGACGGUACCUAAUCAGAAAGCCACGGCUAACUACGUG